rnacentral:sRNA from 1 species
ACCGAAUUGUCAACAAGAGUUGUUGCUGGUCCCCAUACGGGGGCAUGUGCACACUUUGUUUACACAUCCACUCACACCUGUGCACCCUCCGUAGUUCUAUGGCCUGGGUGGGCUCUGUCCUCCUGGCGUGGUUCUACGUCUUUACACACACACUACAACAAAGUCUUAUGGAAUGUAUGUCGCGUUUAACGCAAUGAAAUACAACUUUCAGCAACGGAUCUCUUGGCUCUCGCAUCGAUGAAGAACGCAGCGAAAUGCGAUAAGUAAUGUGAAUUGCAGAAUUCAGUGAAUCAUCGAAUCUUUGAACGCACCUUGCGCCCUUUGGCUAUUCCGAAGGGCAUGCCUGUUUGAGUAUCAUGAACACCUCAACUCUCAUGGCUUGCCAUGAUGAGCUUGGACUUUGGGGGUCUUGUUGGCCUGUGAGCCAGCUCCUCUUAAAUGAAUUAGCUUGCCGGUGUUUGGUGGCAUCACGGGUGUGAUAACUAUCUACGCUUGUGGUUUCCCACCAGGUAACCUUCAGCAAUGGAGGUUCGCCGGAGCUUAUAAAUGUCUCUCCUCGGUGAGGACACAUUUUGACCAUUUGAUCUCA